rnacentral:lncRNA from 1 species
ACUUUUAAUGUUAUCUUCUGUUGGAAAUACCCUUCCUGUGAAGUUCCCCUGCUUGCCAGUGAGAUUUGGAGAACUGACUGUGGCUUAUGUGUGCUUUAAUCUUCAGUGCCUUGCAUAGUGAUGUUUUUUGCUCCCACGUGAAUCAUUCAAGAGUUAAACAAGAGAAAUGGUUCCUGUCAGUGCAGGUGAUGAAAGAGAUCAUUACAACAUAACUGAAGGUCAAGACAAGGAUAAAUACCAGCAAAAUCAUGUAAGAAUGAUGCUAUCAGGGAAGAGGUUUAAUUGACUCACAGUUCCACGUGGCUGAGGAGGCCUCACAAUCAUGGCAGAAGGCAAAGGAGGAGCAAAGUCACGUCUUACCUGGCAGCAGGCAAGAGGAUGUCUGAUUCUUAGUAAGCCCUCAAUAAGCAGUAGCUCCUCUAUGAUUUCUUCAUAUUCUUAUUUCCAGCAGUAUGAUAUGUAUGAUAUGCCAGUUGACCCACUGAACAGGCAUCUUGCCAGAGGCAGUUUCAUAUGCUGCUUGACUUGAAUCAAGAGAAGGCAUCAGAGGAACACUAUCACAGAAAAAGAUUAAAAAGAACUUUGGGACUUAAAAGGCAGAAGGAGAAAAACUAUUCUCUGGAUAGUGCUGGUGAAAAGUGAGCAGACAGUGAGAUAUCAUUGGAGCUUGUCUUCUGCAUGUUUGGUUGUAACUCCUGUCUUCAUUCAUAAUGCCUCACAUCUCCUCCUGACACAUGGCCGGGACUCUGUUUGUGAUGAAUGUUUGUACACAUGGAGGAGGGAGGUACAUAUGCUGUACAUGCUUAGAGGUAGAUACUUACAGGGAGCAGAAGAAGUGUGGGUGGUCAGCCAAAAUGAGGAAAAUACUUCUGAAACUUAAAACAGACCAUGAAAUCAAAUAAA